AUUGCCUUGUUUGCAAGAGUAAGUUUUUUCUGACUUGGGGAAUAAAAGGCAUUUUUGCAGACAGUCAAGCCCCCUGAACUCUAGAAAGGCAUCUAGAAGAUAAAGGGAGAUAAUGGAGAACGCUUUCGCACUCUGGGAAUGAGGGGAAAUAAGAAAGACUGUCUCUCCCUUGGCCUCGUUUCUGAACCAGCUUACCCAUCUUUGAAGCUGAACGGCUUCCAAUGCAGAUAUCACAGAAAAGGCAUCAAUGAAAAAGAGCUGCAGCUCAGAGUGAAAACACUGGAGAACUGA
rnacentral:lncRNA from 1 species